rnacentral:tRNA from 3 species
AGAAAAUCCGUUGGCUUUAGUGACCGUGAGGGUUCAAGUCCCUCUACCCCC